GAUGAAGAACGUAGCGAAAUGCGAUAAGUAAUGUGAAUUGCAGAAUUCAGUGAAUCAUCGAAUCUUUGAACGCACAUUGCGCCCGCCAGGAUUCUGGCGGGCAUGCCUGUUCGAGCGUCAUUUCAACCAUCAAGCCCCCGGCUUGUGUUGGGGACCUGCGGCUGCCGCAGGCCCUGAAAACCAGUGGCGGGCUCGCUAGUCACUCCGAGCGUAGUAAUACAUCUCGCUCAGGGCGUGCUGCGGGUUCCGGCCGUUAAAAGCCUUAUUUACCCAAGGUUGACCUCGGAUCAGGUAGGAAGACCCGCUGAACUUAAGCAUAUCAAUAAGCGGAGGA
rnacentral:misc_RNA from 1 species